rnacentral:rRNA from 1 species
CGACAGGCUUAACACAUGCAAGUCGAGGGGCAGCAUGGUCUUAGCUUGCUAAGACUGAUGGCGACCGGCGCACGGGUGAGUAACACGUAUCCAACCUGCCGUCUACUCUUGGACAGCCUUCUGAAAGGAAGAUUAAUACAAGAUGGCAUCAUGAGUCCGCAUGUUCACAUGAUUAAAGGUAUUCCGGUAGACGAUGGGGAUGCGUUCCAUUGGAUAGUAGGCGGGGUAACGGCCCACCUAGUCUUCGAUGGAUAGGGGUUCUGAGAGGAAGGUCCCCCACAUUGGAACUGAGACACGGUCCAAACUCCUACGGGAGGCAGCAGUGAGGAAUAUUGGUCAAUGGGCGAGAGCCUGAACCAGCCAAGUAGCGUGAAGGAUGACUGCCCUAUGGGUUGUAAACUUCUUUUAUAAAGGAAUAAAGUCGGGUAUGGAUACCCGUUUGCAUGUACUUUAUGAAUAAGGAUCGGCUAACUCCGUGCCAGCAGCCGCGGUAAUACGGAGGAUCCGAGCGUUAUCCGGAUUUAUUGGGUUUAAAGGGAGCGUAGAUGGAUGUUUAAGUCAGUUGUGAAAGUUUGCGGCUCAACCGUAAAAUUGCAGUUGAUACUGGAUAUCUUGAGUGCAGUUGAGGCAGGCGGAAUUCGUGGUGUAGCGGUGAAAUGCUUAGAUAUCACGAAGAACUCCGAUUGCGAAGGCAGCCUGCUAAGCUGCAACUGACAUUGAGGCUCGAAAGUGUGGGUAUCAAACAGGAUUAGAUACCCUGGUAGUCCACACGGUAAACGAUGAAUACUCGCUGUUUGCGAUAUACUGCAAGCGGCCAAGCGAAAGCGUUAAGUAUUCCACCUGGGGAGUACGCCGGCAACGGUGAAACUCAAAGGAAUUGACGGGGGCCCGCACAAGCGGAGGAACAUGUGGUUUAAUUCGAUGAUACGCGAGGAACCUUACCCGGGCUUAAAUUGCAGAUGAAUUACGGUGAAAGCCGUAAGCCGCAAGGCAUCUGUGAAGGUGCUGCAUGGUUGUCGUCAGCUCGUGCCGUGAGGUGUCGGCUUAAGUGCCAUAACGAGCGCAACCCUUGUUGUCAGUUACUAACAGGUUCCGCUGAGGACUCUGACAAGACUGCCAUCGUAAGAUGUGAGGAAGGUGGGGAUGACGUCAAAUCAGCACGGCCCUUACGUCCGGGGCUACACACGUGUUACAAUGGGGGGUACAGAGGGCCGCUACCACGCGAGUGGAUGCCAAUCCCCAAAACCUCUCUCAGUUCGGACUGGAGUCUGCAACCCGACUCCACGAAGCUGGAUUCGCUAGUAAUCGCGCAUCAGCCACGGCGCGGUGAAUACGUUCCCGGGCCUUGUACACACCGCCCGUCAAGCCAUGGGAGCCGGGGGUACCUGAAGUGCGUAACCGCGAGGAGCGCCCUAGGGUAAAACUGGUGACUG